CCUGCCCCUAGAGGCAUUGCGGGUGUGGCUGCUGUGUCACACAUGUGUCACUAGGUGGCAGAAAGAAGAGAGGCUAUGUCUACCAUCAGUGUUCUGACCUGUGAACACUUGAAUAAUUAGUAGCUGAACAUUC
rnacentral:snoRNA from 14 species